rnacentral:tmRNA from 2 species
GGGGGCGAAAUGGCUUCGACGGAGAUUUUGAAGUCUAUGGUAGCAUACCGAGUCUUUUGUCAGCUCGUAAACUUGGCAGAAAAUAAACAUAAUCGCAGACGAUUAUAAUUACGCUGUAGCUGCGUAGAGCAGCUUCCGUCCUGCUGAUAUCCUUCUUGCAGAUUUCAGGUCAGGGCGUCAUACUUUGCAAGACAGCUUUUAAGGGCGUCUGAACCUUAACGGUUAAACUUUUCAGGCUAUAUUGAUUUGUAUCCAUCUCAAGGGAGACAAUACAACUAAUUUUAAAUUUUGAGAUAAGUAUGUAGAAGCCUAGGUUGAUUGUUUUCGGACGCGGGUUCAACUCCCGCCGCCUCCACCA